GCGAUCUGGUUGUUUGUAUAGCCUGCUAGGAAUAUGGUCGGAGGCGGCGCAUGUUGGCAAGCCUGUCGAAUCACGUUCACACAUAGCGAUCAAACGCCGAUUUUGCUAAGAUCGUGGGACUUCACUUGUAACACUUGACUAUACCUAUAAAAGAAAUGUUUUUUUUAUAGCUUUAAACAUAUCCAAAUAACAAAUGUCCCUCAAAUUUGAACACACAACAGGACCCCCCCUCCCUCUUUCCUCACCUUUAUUUGUGUGUUUGUGUUUACAGCUAGGGAGGAGGAUUUCCGUCGCUACUGUGCAUCAUUGUUUGCCGUCCCUGUCACCGGCGGCAGGACUCAGACUCAGAUUGCUACACCUGAACCGUGCCUCGUCAUAGAAGUCCUGGAUGAGGUGAGAAGUGACUGGAGCAUUUUAUUUCAACAGAAAUGUUUUACCUACAUAAACGUGCGCGCCGUGAAGCGCAGCAGAUGGAAAAAAACGGAGAGUGUGUCACACGUCAAUUCACAAUUGCACACAAGACCUCACAGACAACAGCUGUACUGUACUGUUUGUACUGUAUCUUUCUCCUAUACUGUCACAUUCACAUGUUACAGCACUGAUUUUCUUUUUCAACAGAAAAACAGAGACAUAAAUGGAGUCUGUGCUGAACAGAGGACAAACAACAAAGAGGUUCCCUUGUUGAAGCAGGUCUCCAGCGACGGAGGGGCAUCUGUGCCCCAAACGGCCUUAACCGGUGUUGGGUCCUCAGGAGUCGGCGUCUCUCCUCACAGUCCAACUCAAGCAUCCAGACACUCAUCCAGAGCACCAACAGAGCCUAAAACAGCUCUGGAGCUCGGUCCACCCAAGCCUCAGACGUCAAAAGCCGAACACGCAAUGAAAUCGUUACCCUCUAAAAGUUUGCCAUCACCAUGCCCGACUGCUGAGACAACAAGGACUUCACAGACAUCAAUCAAGACACCAAACUCCAAGUCACAAAAGCCCACUUGUUCCCCCGCUGUGCCCAAAUCAAAAGCUCACCAUGAAAUCCCUAACUUAUUAUGCUUCCCUCCCCUAUUUCCGUCUGAUGUGUCUCUGGCUGGUACCAGAUCACCGCUACCCAAAGAGCCUCUCUCCCCUUCUCCAUCUGCAUCCUUCUCGCUCAGGUCCAAAUCUGCACUCUCACCAUCAAGCUCUACUGAGGUAACUUUGUUUCCUGAAGUUCGCCAUUCAACCCCAUUACGACAACGCUCGGACUCAUCUCUGCAGCCAGAACAAUCACAAUCUUCCAAUUUAUUUCAAGAACCAAUCUCAUCCCCAAUGCUUUCUCAAUCAGCACCAAGCAAUCUGGAGGCCCCGGAGCAAUCCCAGCAUUCCUUGAGUGACCCAGACUCUUUCCUAUCAGAUAAUGAACUCAAGCUGCCGCAGUCUUCCGGGCCAAACCCACGACCAAAAUCCCUGGAACCAACGCAGUCACAGACAAACCCUGCACCGUUUAGCACGGCUGUAAAAACCCUAUCAAGUUCAUUUAACCAGUCCCCGUCAGAAGUAAAUUCUAGAGAAAAGUCAACUCCAUCAUAUGGGGAUGCUACGGUUUAUACGUCUUCUCCCUCCUUCUCUGGUGACCCUGAAUCAACCCAUCAAGCUCGGCAGGAUACAAAGUGCAUCCCAUCGAUUUCAUCACAUCCCUUAAAUGUCGUCCAGAAUCACCCUUUCACUGUGAGAAUGAAGGAGGAAGAGGAGCUAUCAAUGGACAGUGGAGAUGAAAUGUCCAGCGAUAGUCUGGAUCUGGCUUCACAUGACGGAGGCUCUUCAGAUGAAGACGCACAGAUGCGCGGACGUUUAACGAGACGGAGAUCCAGAGAAGGAGAGCAAGGGAUUUCUGCCACGUCUCAUCUCGGAGAUUCCUUUGUUCCUGCACAUGCAGACGUAGAAAAGGAUCUGCAGACUGAUGAGCCAGAACGGCUGUCAGAAGAACCAUACACGGUGACGCACAACUGGAGUGCUGGGUCUGGAUCAGAGCGAUUGUCUAGUCUGCGGGGGCUCUCCCCUCGCAGAGUGGAUUUGAAUUCUGCUCACUCUGACACGCCAGAACACACACACUUUGACCCAGGCUCAACAGGUACGUCAACGGAAGUGUUUGAACGUGCACAUGUGAAUUUUCAUGCACUUUUCUUUAUUUCUUUGUUCUCAACCGGCUCGUGUUUUCCUAUAAACUACAAACUGUUUCCCGUGCUCCAAGUGAUUAGAUUGUAA
ensembl:lncRNA